rnacentral:rRNA from 1 species
UAGGGAAUCUUGGGCAAUGGACGGAAGUCUGACCGAGCAACGCCGCGUGAGUGAAGAAGGUUUUCGGAUCGUAAAGCUCUGUUGUUAGAGAAGAACGUUGGUAGGAGUGGAAAAUCUACCAAGUGACGGUAACUAACCAGAAAGGGACGGCUAACUACGUGCCAGCAGCCGCGGUAAUACGUAGGUCCCGAGCGUUGUCCGGAUUUAUUGGGCGUAAAGCGAGCGCAGGCGGUUCUUUAAGUCUGAAGUUAAAGGCAGUGGCUUAACCAUUGUACGCUUUGGAAACUGGCGGACUUGAGUGCAGAAGGGGAGAGUGGAAUUCCAUGUGUAGCGGUGAAAUGCGUAGAUAUAUGGAGGAACACCGGUGGCGAAAGCAGCUCUCUGGUCUGUAACUGACGCUGAGGCUCGAAAGCGUGGGGAGCAAACAGG